GUCGAACGAACUCUGGGUAUUGAUUGGUGCUUGCAUCAUGAUUUACAUUUGAGUGAGUGGCGAACUGGUGAGUAACACGUGGGAAACCUGCCCAGAAGCGGGGGAUAACACCUGGAAACAGAUGCUAAUACCGCAUAACAACUUGGACCGCAUGGUCCGAGCUUGAAAGAUGGCUUCGGCUAUCACUUUUGGAUGGUCCCGCGGCGUAUUAGCUAGAUGGUGGGGUAACGGCUCACCAUGGCAAUGAUACGUAGCCGACCUGAGAGGGUAAUCGGCCACAUUGGGACUGAGACACGGCCCAAACUCCUACGGGAGGCAGCAGUAGGGAAUCUUCCACAAUGGACGAAAGUCUGAUGGAGCAACGCCGCGUGAGUGAAGAAGGGUUUCGGCUCGUAAAACUCUGUUGUUAAAGAAGAACAUAUCUGAGAGUAACUGUUCAGGUAUUGACGGUAUUUAACCAGAAAGCCACGGCUAACUACGUGCCAGCAGCCGCGGUAAUACGUAGGUGGCAAGCGUUGUCCGGAUUUAUUGGGCGUAAAGCGAGCGCAGGCGGUUUUUUAAGUCUGAUGUGAAAGCCUUCGGCUCAACCGAAGAAGUGCAUCGGAAACUGGGAAACUUGAGUGCAGAAGAGGACAGUGGAACUCCAUGUGUAGCGGUGAAAUGCGUAGAUAUAUGGAAGAACACCAGUGGCGAAGGCGGCUGUCUGGUCUGUAACUGACGCUGAGGCUCGAAAGUAUGGGUAGCAAACAGGAUUAGAUACCCUGGUAGUCCAUACCGUAAACGAUGAAUGCUAAGUGUUGGAGGGUUUCCGCCCUUCAGUGCUGCAGCUAACGCAUUAAGCAUUCCGCCUGGGGAGUACGGCCGCAAGGCUGAAACUCAAAGGAAUUGACGGGGGCCCGCACAAGCGGUGGAGCAUGUGGUUUAAUUCGAAGCUACGCGAAGAACCUUACCAGGUCUUGACAUACUAUGCAAAUCUAAGAGAUUAGACGUUCCCUUCGGGGACAUGGAUACAGGUGGUGCAUGGUUGUCGUCAGCUCGUGUCGUGAGAUGUUGGGUUAAGUCCCGCAACGAGCGCAACCCUUAUUAUCAGUUGCCAGCAUUAAGUUGGGCACUCUGGUGAGACUGCCGGUGACAAACCGGAGGAAGGUGGGGAUGACGUCAAAUCAUCAUGCCCCUUAUGACCUGGGCUACACACGUGCUACAAUGGAUGGUACAACGAGUUGCGAACUCGCGAGAGUAAGCUAAUCUCUUAAAGCCAUUCUCAGUUCGGAUUGUAGGCUGCAACUCGCCUACAUGAAGUCGGAAUCGCUAGUAAUCGCGGAUCAGCAUGCCGCGGUGAAUACGUUCCCGGGCCUUGUACACACCGCCCGUCACACCAUGAGAGUUUGUAACACCCAAAGUCGGUGGGGUAACCUUUUAGGAACCA
rnacentral:rRNA from 1 species